GACUAAUGUGGAAAUAUGUUUAACAUGACUGUACACACAUGUAUGGCCUGUAUCAGUUUGCUCCCUGUCUUGGGAAGGGCGGACUGAGGAGGGGAGGGAGGGAGAAAAAUUUGGAACUCAGAAUCUUACAGAAAUGAACGCUGAAAACUCUUUACAUGGGAUUGGAAAAAAAUACUAUGGAGGAAAAAGCCCAGUGCCCGCCCCAGGCCUCUUCCAUGAUGGCAGAUCUCCAAGACAGUGAUGAGCAUUAAGGACUAUAGCUGGCCAGAGACCGGACCGAGCGAAGGGAGCCUCGCGGCACCCGGCUCUGACUACAUGUGGGUACGAGGACAAACUUGAGACACACGUGGCACGGCACGGCAUUGGCGCUAGGGUCUGUUGUACUUGAUGCCGGCGGCGAGUCACCCUCCCCACGCCUGGGCUGAUUCCAAGCCUCACUGGAAGAAUUCCAGGCUCAUCCGCCAUCUUGGGGGCUGCUUUGUCAACGGGCGAGCUGCCCGGCCUCUUCCAUCAGCCAGGGACCGGCCAAUGCCAAGAUGUCGGAGCAGGGCUCUGUUACCUGGGGGUAGGGCCCCGCGAUCGCAGUGGGGCUGAUGGUGAGCUAGAUGAGCUUCUCCUGACUGUCCCUGGACUUGGAGACGUACUGGUCACGGGUAGCUGCAGUUCCUCUGUCCUCAGAGAUCUCAGAGCACGAGUCAAUAGGAAGGGAGCCCAAACCUCAGCGGGCAGGGCAUAAAGCCUGUGGCAUUAUUUUUUUUUUUAAAUUUCCAGACAAGUUUAUUUUAAAUUAAAAAAAACCCUUUAAACAGAUAGACAGAAACAAUGAUUCCUCAGCACUUACAAAGGUACCCUUCUCUUUUCUUAGGUCCCUUAAUGAACAAUAACCCCUAUCAUACUCUAACUGUAGUCUAAUUAUCUAGGGACUCCCAUUAACGGUCAGAUCUCAACAUGUAAAGAUCAGCUACACACUGGGGAACAGACUAAGGGACUGAAUUGGGUUCAAGGAUACUAAGAAACAACAGCUCAUAUAUUUUAUGAAGAAACAGAUUCGAUUCCCUGAUCUGUCGUACACUUUCCCCUUGAGCCCAGUGGUGUAAGUUUAAAUUAGUGAUUACCAGGAAAACAACUGUGGCAAAUGAUUCUCCUCUUAUGGGCCUCGGAACACUUACAUAUUAGCUACGUUUCAGCUCCAGCUUCAGAUUCAUAAAGUGCUUACAGUCACAGUGCCCAGCAUGUACUACGUACUAUAAGAAUGCUCAUUCCCUUCCUCUCCUUUUUCUAGGCUCUAGCUGCUAAUGAAGCCCUCCUGAGCUUCUUCCAUAUUUUCUUCUACCCUUACUCAAUUUCUGUCCAGUUUCCAAGAUCACAUGUACUAUUUAACACCCAGAGUUAUAGCUUCAUGUUCCUUGACAGGCUGCCUUAUAUGCUGGCAGAGAAGCCAGCUACUACAAUGUUCUGUCCAGUGAUGAAGCUGGAAUCUGGAGAACACAGGAAAGACACAAGCCCUGCACAUUCUUCUGGUUGUCCAAUCCUCUGCAUUCCAAAUAGUUUCUUAACUGGCUCUAUCAAGUUUUCUUCUUCUUGGACCACCACAUUGCUGAAGUCAGUGUCGAUAAUACUGGGAACAAUGGUGUCCUUCUUGGUAGGACUGGAGGCAGACACCCAAAGCCACGCGCCGGCUCUGCUGCUGUUUUUGUUCUGGUCAGAGGUUGUGGGUCCCCCGAGGAGGGCGAAGUGUUGCCCUGGACAGCUCACUGCCGGUCAGAGCCAACCUCUCUGGACAUUGUAUUUCCUGGGUCUCUCCCUUGGUCUGAGUGGGUCCUGGCAGGAAGUCCACACACUGAGAAAACCUCCCCCCAUGACACUCGGGCCACACCUGAGGCUUUCUAGUUCCUCGUGGGCUAUGUUUGGGGGUGUCACGCAGCAUCCGUCGCCACCAGUCUGUGACUUACGUUCUUGCUGUCUCUGCCCAGAGAAGGGAAGUCGGGCAGCUGAGUUCCAGAGGUUUGCUUUUACUUGUAUUCUUCCAGUAAGUGCCGGCGUCUGCAGCUCUUUGUAUGCCAGGACCCCAGGCCUCCACUUCUUGGUGAUACCCCUGCUGCCAUGCUGGGCCCGCACAAUCCGUUUCUGUCCAGCUUGGGAGCCGUUCUUGUGCAGAAUCACCUGGUUGAGCUUUCACGGCCACAGCCUGGGGCUGUAUCACCCGCCUCCUGGUGCCAUGAGGGGGCUCAGUCGCUGUGGUCAGCUCCCACUUCUGCCGACAGGCCUCCAAAGACGCCCUCUGGGGUCCUCUGCCACCACCACCUCACAGCUUGGCCUGAGCCUUCUCAGCUGCCUGCCCCCUUCCCCAGUCACCCACCUACCACUGCGGCGAGGCAGGCUGGUUCAGUGAAGGAGACUGGCGUCCCUCCACAGCUGCCAUGGAGCCUUCCCCGCAUACCCUCGUCUGCUGGCGGUUCGGGUAGCGUUAGCCCAGCUCCGCUGUCCUACGGUCCCUGCAGUGACACGAUGGCUGGGGCAGAAUGAACUAGAGCUGCCUGUGAUCUCUGCCCUUCCCCCAGAAAGUCCCCAGCCGUCAGGUGCCUUUGCUCCAUAUCAACUGAUGGCUCCUGCUUGCAAAUGGGCUGCCUACACUUCUGCUGGUCUCCCCUGACCCUCAGUGUCUCAAGCUGUCCAAGCUGGCAUUUGUCUGCAGCACCAAAGGCCCGCCCCCCCCACAUCUGUGUGCCCAUUAGCCCCCAAAGGGCUUUGUUGGCUCCAGGAGCACUCGGGGAACCCUCCCGGUGCCCUCCUCUCUUCUUCACCUUCCACGGCUCUUUCUCAGGCUCCCCCCCGGCCCUAAAAACAUGCCAGGUUCCCUGGCUUCAGAAGGUGAACAAAAACUACACAUCCGAGGCAUCCGGGUGAGUCCAGUGCACCCUCUCACCAUUUGGAGCAGGGGUGACACUCAGAAAACAGCCCAGACUGAGGGAAAAGGGGGGGCAGGCUAAGAAGACCUCCCCAAAGGGAAGGGCUCUUUCCAACCAAGUCAGAGAAGAGCCUCGGGGAAGCUGAUAGGAUCUGGUCAGAUCCUUCCUAGCUCGGGGAGCCUGGGUGAGUCAUUUCACUGCAGCCUGCCUCAGUUUCCUCUCUUGUAAAAUAUACCAUCUACCUUGAAAUAUGAGCAUCAUAAUUGUCAAGUGCUUAAAGGCAAGAUUGCCUGGCAUACAGUAGGUGCUUAAUAAAUGCUUGUUUUACAACAGCAGCAGCCAGCAUGAACACAGGAGGCAGAAGGGAGUUCCACCCACCCAGGCUCUGAUUCCUUAGCUGCUGUUCUGUACACCCUGGGAUGCCAAGGGGAACAUGUCGCUCCAAGGCUCCAGCAGCCUCUGGGGCUCAGGUCCGAUAGUACCUCCUCCCAUGGGAGCACCCUCUCAGCACGCACAUUCUCUGGGGGCCUUUUGGGGACUCAAAGGUCCUGGAGGACACGGGCCAUCUGUCUUCCAUGCCUGGGUCCCCAUCCCCGGCACAGGCUAAAUGUUUAGUGGGUGGAGGGUGAUUGGAGAGAAGGGAGGGCCAGCAGGCUCCUUAUAGGAGUGGUUAGAAAAGCCCUGUGAGUCUCCAGAGCCUGAGCUGUCCCCGCUGUAGUCUGGGCAGGCCUGGGGAGGGCCUGGCUUCCCUUGGGAGAGGAGAGUUACUGGGGCCCUGUGUUGGGCCCCAAUCCUGUCUUUCACGGAAGGUCUCCUUCCUAGCUCAGUCUGGGCCCAAGCCUGCCUCCACUUCCCCAUCUUAUUUGCAUGCAUUGUGGUGGCUGGCCAUGCUAUUGGGGGUGGGAGGGGCCCCAGCUUAGCCCCAAAGGCUGCCCCCGGGAAACUCAGGCAGUCCCAGCCUGCUCUGCCUCCUGACAGCCAUGACCCCCCACCUGCUGGCUCUGCUCUUGGCCAACGCUGUGGCAACCCUCCUGGCAACGCGGUAAUAAUCCACUGGAUUGGUGUUGUGGAUUGAAGUCAGGAAGACCCACCUCGCUGAGUUCAACCCACACUAGCUGUGUAAC